CUCAGCCUUGCCGGGCGAGCAGCGCUGGGAAGGGACUGGCACUUGGCUUGCUGCUGGGCCCCUGGAGACCGGGUGACUGACACCCAAGCCGCCUGCACGGCUGAGCGUCACCAGAUCCGCCCGGGUUGGCUGUCAGACACGGCCCGUGGGGUGGUGCGAAGUGCAGAGUCUGAGGAGACCUGAGGCUCGGUUUCAUGGCCUUGUCCCCGAGUGUCCUACUCAGGCCACCACACCACUCCUCCACCCACCAACACUUGCCCUUCGAGAAUCUUCUCCAUGAGCAGCAAGCAGAAGCACAAGAGGAGUGAAUCUAGCCUGGAGUGUGUGAAGUGUUUUGCGGUGAUCUGGAACCCAUAGGAGGUGGCCUGCCAGGAGACAGCAGCCGUCCCUGGCCUGCUCAGCCGCACGCAUGACGCCAGGGAAGGAAGCUUCUCCCGGUAGCUGGAACAUGGGUGCAUCAUCCUUGCCUCUUCCUGGAAGGGGGCAGGUGACUUGGUUAGGUUCUCGUGGAUGUGAAAAGAGUAAGACCAGAGGACAAGGGGUCUGGGAAGAGACGCGUGCCUGGUGUGAGCAGACGGCCCUCCGAAGUCAUUGCAACACGCCCACACCAGUCUGACUUCGGGGUUUUUUGGUACUGGGGAUCGAACUCGGGUCCUUGUGCUAGAACUUUGGUUUUAAGCCAGGUCGUCCUUGUGGUUUAUGCUCUGGAGGCCACCGGCCAGCACCAGCAAGUAGCCAGUGAGUUCAGGGGCCACAGUUCCUGUGCCACUGUGAUGCUCCGCUGGAGAGGACCAGGACCUGGGGUGGUCAGCGAGACACUGAGGAACGUGCCCUGAGGGGUCAGUGGCCGGAGAGCAAGGGGCCCGGAGUGGACGAGGAAGGGAUGGGCUCUCAGCAACACGGCAGCCUCUUACAAGCCGCGGGGAGGCGCGCUGGCCUCCGCCCCGAGUUUCUGCUCACACUCGCUCUGUGAGGCUGUGCUUAGAAGGCACUCUGAUCCGCUCAUUUCAGACGUACGCACACUGCCCACUGCACUGUGCCAGAGGCCUGCUUUUUACUAGUGAUUUUUAUUUUGCAACUCUCGAGAGAGCUAUCAUUCUUAUGCAAAUUUUCAGAGGAAAAUGUCCUCAAAAAUUAAUUAAGAUACUAUUAGGCAGUGACAGUUCCAUCCUAAUCGCCACCCACUUAAGCAGCAAUUAUAAGAUGCCAUUGAUUGAUUUCAGACGUGGUAAUCGCUGGGAAAUGAAGGGACAUCCAAUUACCUAGAACUUCUGAGCUUGAAGCCGAGGCAGUGACGGAGUGAUUUUGAUCUCUGAACAACCCGGAUGCUCCUUGCUGGUUGGGGUGCACCCACAGCAUAAGAGGCAGACGUGAGAGUUCACGUAGAUGAAGGGGAGUAUGUGCAGGUGUGGACUGGAGCCGUGUUUCGGUUUUGAUUUCUCGUUUCUGCUUGUGGAUCCCUCAGCACAUCACCCUCGCCGUGUGUCCGAGCUCGGUCUUCCCCUCAGAAGCCUGACGUCAGCGAGGCCCUUGCUCCAGUCCUCCGCAGCACGAGCCUGUGCUCCGGCUCAACAGUGGACUUGGAUAGGGAGCUAGUUUUGCAAAAAGAAGAGAG
ensembl:lncRNA